CACUCUGACGAGUGCAUGUGCGCUGAGCAACAAGUGGGUGAUAAUCUCUAUAUAACAUUUCUUGUCCCAAAACAGACUCGUUUCACCUGUCGCCUGCCGUGAAAGGUUACCCGUAUAGCAGGGAUGAGCUAUAAAACUUGGCUCGCUUUGCAGUAAAAACAUUUGGAAGCGCUUUACUCCAAAGCAAAGUUUGUCAAAAAGAAAAGUUUGUAUUCAACGGUUAUUCUUAUGGAUAAAGACAUAGCCGCAUUCAAACGGAUAUUACAUCGUCUCCAGUGCUCUGGCAGGAAUUAAACCGUUCUUGAUUUCCGGCUGGUAAACUGCACUCGGGUUGAGUCCGUGUCAGCGGAGAUGGCCGUAUAGAAACAAUGCCAUUUGCAGAUUGGCAGCUGCCUUUGACGCCGGCCUGACGACAUUCUACAAGGGGAACUAACCCUGGACAAUCUCGCCGGUUCUCGGCGUCUGCUCAGCGGGGCGUGAGCUAAACAAAGGUCUGCAAUUGUUGCAGCAAACAUGGUCGGCAUCUGACAGGUCUUCGCUCAUCAGCUCAGCACGAGGGACGAAAAACAAAACUUAAACUAGACUGCUAAA